AAUACGUCGAUCUCCAACCAAAAGUUGGAUGAUGGUAUAGUCCAUGCCCCUGGUAACAGGAGGAUUAACAUGCGUGAGACAGGUUGGUCUCUAUCUGCUGUCGGCGUUAGUGUCUGAGGGGAGCCAUGGAUAGUACGAGAGGACCUCCAUGGACGAACCUCUGGUGUACCGGCUUUGCCACCAGGUGAACCGCCGGGUAGCUAUGUUCGGCAGGGAUAAGCGCUGAAAGCAUCUAAGCGCGAAGCCCCACCCAAGAUUAGACGCCAGCGUCUUUAGACGCUAGAAGUCCUGGAAGACCACCAGGUACAAGCCUUGUGCUUUGCACAAGGAAAUUCGAAGUACGAAGCACGAAACUCUAAACAAACUCCAAUAA
rnacentral:ncRNA from 1 species